UACUUUCAAAGAACUCCUACAGAGAACUCCUUUCCCAGGAUCUCACAUUUUCAGAUUUUGAGACAAAACACCAAAAAUAAAAUGGAAAAAAAGUAAAAAAACUCUUCAUCUCUUACUGGAUUUCAGGACAGCCCACAGAAGACCCCACAUCGGAGCAGGUGGACAGAGCUGUGACCCUGUGGGAAGCCCAUGCUGGAGCAGGCUCCUAACAAGACCUGUGGCCCCAUGGAGAGAGAAGCC